rnacentral:rRNA from 1 species
GGGGGUAAAAGUUGGCGAGCAAUCGUAGCACCUGAGGAGGGGCCUGCGGCCUAUCAGCUUGUUGGUGGAGGGUAAUGGCUCACCAAGGCGAAGACGGGUAGCCGGACUGAGAGGUCGAUCGGCCACACUGGAACGUGAGACACGGUCCACG